AACGAACGCUGGCGGCAUGCCUAACACAUGCAAGUCGAACGAGACCUCCGGGUCUACUGGCGCACGGGUGCGUAACGCGGGGGAACCUGCCCGUAUGCUCGGAAUAACACUCUGUAGGGGGUGCUAAUACAGGAUAACUUCCUCUGAUACAAGAUUUAACGCCCUUGGAUGGGCAGGCGUUGGUCUAGCUGGUCAGUAGGGUAAAAGCCUACCAAGGCGACGAUCCAUAGCUGGUCUGAGAGGAUGGUCAGCCACACUGGGUCUGAGACACGGCGCGGACUACUGCGGGAGGCAGCAGUGGGGAAUCUUGGACAAUCGGCGGAGGCCUGAUCCAGCAAUGCCGCGUGAGUGAUGAAGGCGUUAGAGUUGUGAAGCUCUUUUACCCGGGAUGGUAAUGACGGUACCGGGAGAAUAAGCACCGGCUAACUCCGUG
rnacentral:rRNA from 1 species